rnacentral:tRNA from 1 species
GCCCCCGUAGCUCAGUGGACAGAGCAGGUCACUUCUAAUGACAGGGUCGCAGGUUCGAGUCCUGCCGGGGGCG